AUUGAACGCUGGCGGCAGGCCUAACACAUGCAAGUCGAACGAGUGGCGGACGGGUGAGUAAUGUCUGGGAAACUGCCUGAUGGAGGGGGAUAACUACUGGAAACUGUAGCUAAUACCGCAUACCAUCGGAUGUGCCCAGAUGGGAUUAGCUAGUAGGUGGGGUAACGGGUCACCUAGGCGACGAUCCCUAGCUGGUCUGAGAGGAUGACCAGCCACACUGGAACUGAGAAACGGACCAGAGUCCUACGGGAGGCAGGAGUGGGGAAUAUUGAACAAUGGGCGAAAGCCUGAUGCAGCGAUGCCGCGUGGGGGAAGAAGGCCUUCGGGUUGUAAAGCACUUUCAGCAGGGAGGCGUUACCCGCAGAAGAAGCACCGGCUAACUCCGUGCCAGCAGCCGCGGUAAUAC
rnacentral:rRNA from 1 species